UACGAAGGGGGCUAGCGUUGCUCGGAAUCACUGGGCGUAAAGGGUGCGUAGGCGGGUCUUUAAGUCAGGGGUGAAAUCCUGGAGCUCAACUCCAGAACUGCCUUUGAUACUGAAGAUCUUGAGUCCGGGAGAGGUGAGUGGAACUGCGAGUGUAGAGGUGAAAUUCGUAGAUAUUCGCAAGAACACCAGUGGCGAAGGCGGCUCACUGGCCCGGUACUGACGCUGAGGCAC
rnacentral:rRNA from 1 species